UGGGGGAUAGCCUUUCGAAAGGAAGAUUAAUACCCCAUAAUAUAUUUGUCGGCAUCGAUGGAUAUUGAAAACUCCGGUGGAUAGAGAUGGGCACGCGCAAGAUUAGAUAGUUGGUGAGGUAACGGCUCACCAAGUCUACGAUCUUUAGGGGGCCUGAGAGGGUGAUCCCCCACACUGGUACUGAGACACGGACCAGACUCCUACGGGAGGCAGCAGUGAGGAAUAUUGGACAAUGGGUGAGAGCCUGAUCCAGCCAUCCCGCGUGAAGGACGACUGCCCUAUGGGUUGUAAACUUCUUUUGUAUAGGGAUAAACCUACCCUCGUGAGGGUAGCUGAAGGUACUAUACGAAUAAGCACCGGCUAACUCCGUGCCAGCAGCCGCGGUAAUACGGAGGGUGCAAGCGUUAUCCGGAUUUAUUGGGUUUAAAGGGUCCGUAGGCGGAUCUGUAAGUCAGUGGUGAAAUCUCACAGCUUAACUGUGAAACUGCCAUUGAUACUGCAGGUCUUGAGUGUUGUUGAAGUAGCUGGAAUAAGUAGUGUAGCGGUGAAAUGCAUAGAUAUUACUUAGAACACCAAUUGCGAAGGCAGGUUACUAAGCAACAACUGACGCUGAUGGACGAAAGCGUGGGGAGCGAACAGGAUUAGAUACCCUGGUAGUCCACGCCGUAAACGAUGCUAACUCGUUUUUGGGCUUUCGGGUUCAGAGACUAAGCGAAAGUGAUAAGUUAGCCACCUGGGGAGUACGUUCGCAAGAAUGAAACUCAAAGGAAUUGACGGGGGCCCGCACAAGCGGUGGAUUAUGUGGUUUAAUUCGAUGAUACGCGAGGAACCUUACCAAGGCUUAAAUGGGAAAUGACAGGUUUAGAAAUAGACUUUUCUUCGGACAUUUUUCAAGGUGCUGCAUGGUUGUCGUCAGCUCGUGCCGUGAGGUGUUAGGUUAAGUCCUGCAACGAGCGCAACCCCUGUCACUAGUUGCCAUCAUUAAGUUGGGGACUCUAGUGAGACUGCCUACGCAAGUAGAGAGGAAGGUGGGGAUGACGUCAAAUCAUCACGGCCCUUACGCCUUGGGCCACACACGUAAUACAAUGGCCAGUACAGAGGGCAGCUACACAGCGAUGUGAUGCAAAUCUCGAAAGCUGGUCUCAGUUCGGAUUGGAGUCUGCAACUCGACUCUAUGAAGCUGGAAUCGCUAGUAAUCGCGCAUCAGCCAUGGCGCGGUGAAUACGUUCCCGGGCCUUGUACACACCGCCCGUCAAGCCAUGGAAGUCUGGGGUACCUGAAGUCGGUGACCGUAACAGGAGCUGCCUAGGGUAAAACAGGUAACUAGGGCUAAGUCGUAACAAGGUAACC
rnacentral:rRNA from 1 species